GGCGAUCCAGCAGCACCGAGUGAGGGCAGUGCCGCCACGUCCUCCCCUGAACCGAAAAUAUGAAGCUUCUGCUGCUCUUGAUAGUCUGGUGCGCCGCUGCCCGCGCCGACACUGGUGGGCAUGUAGUCUCGCACGGAGGCUAUGGCGGCGGAUAUGGCGGAUACGGUGGCCAUGGAGGCUAUGGUGGAUACGGUGGCCAUGGAGGCUAUGGUGGAUACGGCGGUUACGGAGGAGGCUAUGGCGGAUACGGUGGUUACGGAGGAGGCUAUGGCGGAUACGGUGGUUACGGAGGAGGCUAUGGCGGCUACGACUCGGGGUACGGCCACGCUGAUUAUGGAGGAUAUGGUUAUGGUGGAUACGGUGGCGGACAUGGUUAUGGCGGGUAAAGGUCAU